GUCCACGCCCUAAACGAUGGAUACUAGGCGUAAGAGGUAUCGAUCCCUCUUGUGCCGCAGCUAACGCACUAAGUAUCCCGCCUGGGGAGUACGGCCGCAAGGUUGAAACUCAAAUGAAUUGACGGGGACCCGCACAAGCGGUGGAGCAUGUGGAUUAAUUCGAUACUAACCGAAGAACCUUACCCAGGUUUGACAUCGAUGGUAAGCCCGAGAAACCGGGCCCUCUCCCAAAAGGAGACCUGAAGACACUUGUUGCAUGGCUGUCGU
rnacentral:rRNA from 1 species